rnacentral:rRNA from 1 species
UUAACCUGGAAUCAAAUAGGGAUACCCGCUGAACUUAAGCAUAUCAAAAGCCCGGGAGGAA